rnacentral:rRNA from 1 species
AUGAACGCUGGCGGCGUGCCUCAUACAUGCAAGUCGAGCGCACAGAUGAGGAGCUUGCUCCUCUGACGUUAGCGGCGGACGGGUGAGUAACACGUGGAUAACCUACCUAUAAGACUGGGAUAACUUCGGGAAACCGGAGCUAAUACCGGAUAAUAUAUUGAACCGCAUGGUUCAAUAGUGAAAGACGGUUUUGCUGUCACUUAUAGAUGGAUCCGCGCCGCAUUAGCUAGUUGGUAAGGUAACGGCUUACCAAGGCAACGAUGCGUAGCCGACCUGAGAGGGUGAUCGGCCACACUGGAGCUGAGACACGGUCCAGACUCCUACGGGAGGCAGCAGUAGGGAAUCUUCCGCAAUGGGCGAAAGCCUGACGGAGCAACGCCGCGUGAGUGAUGAAGGUCUUCGGAUCGUAAAACUCUGUUAUUAGGGAAGAACAAAUGUGUAAGUAACUAUGCACGUCUUGACGGUACCUAAUCAGAAAGCCACGGCUAACUACGUG